AAUUAUUUAGCUAUUUAAGCAAUAUGCCUUGAAAGCAUAAUAAAGAAAUAUAAAUCUUUCUAAUAAUUU
rnacentral:tRNA from 1 species